UACGGAGGGGGCUAGCGUUGUUCGGAAUUACUGGGCGUAAAGCGCACGUAGGCGGCUUUGCAAGUUAGAGGUGAAAGCCCGGGGCUCAACUCCGGAAUUGCCUUUAAAACUAGAUUGCUAGAAUCUUGGAGAGGCGAGUGGAAUUCCGAGUGUAGAGGUGAAAUUCGUAGAUAUUCGGAAGAACACCAGUGGCGAAGGCGACUCGCUGGACAAGUAUUGACGCUGAGGUGCGAAAGCGUGGGGAGCAAACAGG
rnacentral:rRNA from 1 species